rnacentral:rRNA from 1 species
UGCUCAGGACGAACGCGGCGGCGUGCCUAAUACAUGCAAGUCGAGCGAAUCAUUAGGAGCUUGCUCCUAAUGAUUAGCGGCGGACGGGUGAGUAACACGUGGGCAACCUGCCUAUAAGACUGGGAUAACUUCGGGAAACCGGAGCUAAUACUGGAUAAUCCUAUUCCUCUCAUGGGGAAUAGCUGAAAGACGGUUUCGGCUGUCACUUAUAGAUGGGCCCGCGGCGCAUUAGCUAGUUGGUGAGGUAACGGCUCACCAAGGCAACGAUGCGUAGCCGACCUGAGAGGGUGAUCGGCCACACUGGGACUGAGACACGGCCCAGACUCCUACGGGAGGCAGCAGUAGGGAAUCUUCCGCAAUGGACGAAAGUCUGACGGAGCAACGCCGCGUGAACGAUGAAGGCCUUCGGGUCGUAAAGUUCUGUUGUUAGGGAAGAACAAGUAUCGGAGUAACUGCCGGUACCUUGACGGUACCUAACCAGAAAGCCACGG